rnacentral:rRNA from 11 species
UUUUAUUCCUAAAUCCCCUAAAGGCACCAAAUCCCAUUUUAUCUCAGAAGCUAAACAGAGUCAGGUUUGGUUAGUGCUUAAAAGGGAAAGCACCAGGGAAUGUGGGGUGCUGUAGACU